AUGUGGCAACCUACUCGUCGAUUAUUUCGAUGCAGAGAGGAAAAUCUGCACAAAUCCGUGUGACUGCCAGCAUCACCGCAAGUUUUUCGGGCACGGCCGAGGCACAACGCGCAACGGUUUGAACAACCGUCACGUUCAUAUCGUCGUCGACUCGUAAAGCAAUAUGGAAGAUGCGUACGAUUCUCUUAAACACAGCAGCCGUGGCCGUGGGGGUUACCGCACCAGUGGGAUAUUUUGGAGUAGGAGCGCUCUGUGAGGGAAAGCGCUUUUCCGCGCACCGUUAAAAAAGAAUGCCAGAAAGUAGAAGGGAAAAGACACCUGCUCCAGCGGUGUGGCCACGGUGGAAUUGAUCGGAGGAUGUGGAGCAUUGGCACGGAGCAGCAGCAACAGCAAACAAGUGUGCAUUCGCCGGGUAAUUAUGUGCGUCGUUUCGAGUAAGUGUGUGUUGCGCCAGCGUGCGUUGUCCGUGCGCUCUUAGCUCGUGUGCACGUGUGAUAAGCGUGCAUGCGUGUGUGUGCGUGUGUGUAUGUGAAGAAGAAAGAAAAGAAAGUAAGCAGAGCGCUCGGUGAAUGUGUGAAGGAAUAAGAGGAAGGAAAGUGAUAGAAAAAAAAAUCGAAUAAGUGAAAAAAAAGAGAAGAAGUAUUACUGAAAAAGCAAAUUCGUCAUCUUCCGCCGUGUUUUGUGCGCACGUUUGUUUGUGUUUUUUGCAUUAUUAUUUGUUUGGAAAUUGCGUCAUGCAGCGGUGCGCCGCCGCACGUGUGCCCGCAAAGUGUAUGUGUGUACGAUUGUCAUGAAUAUUGUGCCGCGUGAAACCGAAUUGCAACCAGAAACGUUCUUCUCUUGGGGCGUAGAAGGACGCGCGCGAGUGUAAAGUGCGUGUGUGUGUGUGUGCGCCUCUGUGUCGGUGCUCGUGUGUGUAUAGUGUUGUUUUUGUUCACUUCGGAGCCCCCCCCCCCCUCCCCCCCUGAAGCAGGCGU